GGCUGAUCUUGAAUUCCUGGGCUCAAGCAUUCCUCCUGCCUCAGCCUCCCAAAAUGCUGGGAUUACAGGUGCAAGCCACCAUGCCUCGUCUGUUUGCCGAUUUAAGACAGGUUUAUGUACAUCAUUAUCAUUAGAGGCACAUAGAAUCUAGACAUGUACUUGAAACUUAGCUCUCUAUCCUGAAAGUUGAAGUUAGGGUUCUUUGAUCCUGGUGAGAUGUUAAUUGUAAUUUUAAUUUUCAUAUGUUAAUAUUGUGACUUGUAUUUUGUGAUGAGUCUCUAGAAUGAUUAAAUGACUAUUUUUUUAUGAAAAAUUUUUUGUUAAUAAAAUAUCUGAGGGUAUUUUGAGUAUGUGGAAGGAAUGCCUGAAUAGAAGCUGAUCUAUCUUAACAUACCUCAAGAACUCCAGUUUUAAUAUGGUGAGUGAGGAGUUGACUGGGAAAAGGAGAGAUCCAAUUCUUGUUCUAGUCCUUGGCACAUACACUCUCUGGGUUUUGAGAAAAGGAUGGUCCUACAACGAUUCUAAGUUGUUUUCUCAUUGGUCCUACAACAAUUCUAAGUUGUUUUCUCAAAGGCAAAAGCAUGAUUUCAAAAUGACAUCACUUGUCAGAUUUUCUGGUGUAUGGAAAGAUUUAAUAAUCCUGCCUCUUUUGAAGCCUGAAACUUACAAUUUAAAGCCUGAAAUCUACCAUAAGGAACUUGGUAAAUUGUGUCAGAUACCAUGAAAAUGCAUCUUUUCAUAGUUAACCACAGAUUGUUUAUGUAAAGGCAAAUUGGUGGUCAGGUUCAAGGUAAAAUGGAUUAUUGGGUUGAUUAGUAGCCAAAAACUAAAUGCAUGUUCAGGUCAAAAUGAAUUUGUUUGUUUUAGUUGGUGCCAUUUUCCUUUUAUUAUUCAGAACUACAGAGUGUGCAUUUUAUUAAUAGGAAUGAAAGCUCAUGCUUGAGGAUUUGAAUAGGGUGGAUGUAUAUAUUUUAUAAACUCAAGUUGCAAAAUAUGUAAAGUCACUACUUUUUAAAUAGAAUAUAAAUGUUAAAACAGACAAAUCUAUGUUAUAUAUUUUUUAAUACAUGUAUCAGACUUGUUAGUUGAAUGCAGAUUACUUUGCUUUAUGGAAUUUCAUAACUUUUAAUAAUAAAGCAGUUGUUAUUGGAUUUUUUCUGUAGACUUGAAUACUAAAUGGGAUAGAUACCAGACCUCUUUUUGGUUUAUGACGUAAAAGUAUUUGUACAGUAGUUUCUCUUCACAAAAGACUGAAUUUUAAAGGAUUAUAGAAACAGGAACAUGUCCAUUUCCAAAAUGAGUGCAACAGAAUGAAGAUAGUCACUUAAACCAUCUAUUUAACACAUCACCUUUAUGUAAUAUGUAGCUAGUUUUAGUGUUUUAAUAAGUCCCAACUAAAGACUGAGUGUUUUCAGUGAAGAUGGAAAUGGAGACCCAGGCACUUGCUUAGAGUUAUCGUGAGUCCGAUGUUCCUGAACUUCAAGUUGUACAAUUAAGGGCAUACUCUAAGAACUUCUGGAUGCUUUCUGGAGUAUACAAACAGAUCAACUAAUGACUUAAAUGAGUGACUCUUGAAGCUGCAAGAAGAGGAAAGAAAUAACCACAAGAAGGGGCUAUCUCAGCAUCUGUUAUUCCUGACAGGAGGAAUUAAAUAUGCUCUGCUGGUAAUUCUAAGCUUUUCUGCAGGGGAUCUGCUUGCCCCAGGAGCACCUUAGUCCUCAUUGAGGCAGCCAUUCUGCCAUAAAAACGAUCAUGUCUCAAGCUGUUCCUGCCGUCCUACACAACUAUGUUAGUAGAUGGUUAGAUAAAUAUAUGAACCAUCUUUUGUACUUUGAUGAUGCCCUUUUCCUUUAUUAUAAUCCUUAAUUUCUACUUUCCAUAGUAGGAUUUGACUUUUCUCCAUUAGUUUAAGCUACCCUGGAUAAGUGACUCUGUUUAUGUCCUCCCUAUAUUUCUUACUCAUUUUCACACUAACAUAACACGUAACAAAAUUAAACAUAAGCUAAAUUGAAGAAGCAAGUGAGACAGCUAAGAGUUUUGUGUACUUGGACAACAAAGCUCAAAGCCACUGUGGUUAUCUGUCCUGUUGGGAGCCCCUUUCAACCAUUUUUUUAGUUGCCUGUAAGAUUUAUUUUUAAUGUUUGCCUGCAUAAUGCAAAAUACAUAAGUGGGAAUCCCUACGCCCUUUACAGUUAAGUGGAUUAUGGAAAUAAUAAGGAAAGUUUAUCAACUAAGGUAGGAAAUAUCUUCUCAUGUCUGUAUCUGGCCUUCAGGGACUUAAUGUGGGUGAAUAUAUGUCAUUAGACAAGAUCCUAAUAUAGAUGGCUGUAUCCUGCAGAUAGCCAAUUCAACAUUAAAAUUUUAUGUUUCCAUACCUCAAUGAAAACAUAUUUCUUUUAUCCUGUUAUAAUUUAAUGACAUUCCCAUCCAACUUAAUCAAGCAAUGAUACUCAGUAGUCCUCUCCUUGCAUUUUUCAAGUCCUGUUGAGUGUAACUUUAAAAUGUCUCUGAGAUUUCUACCUUCUCUCCAGUCUCCUUACCAUUAGGGCCUUUCACUACCUGGCCUUGGUGUCCCUAGGCUGCUCUUCAGCUGUCCACAAACCUUGUUUCAUAAGCAGUAGCAAUGCAAGCUUCCACUGCCGUCUGCUAAUGUUCUUCCCUCCUAGAAUGUUCAUGAUCUGCGUUUCUACCUGAAAGGUCUAGUUCAAAGGUAGCUGAAAGGUUAUCAUCCUUGUCCUUUCUUCUCUCCCUACCAGUCAUCUAUCCUGAACUUUUUAACAGUAGGGACAGUGUUGCAAUUGUGUUUGUGUCCCCAGCACGUAGCACACAGUACCUAGUAUACAGUACCUGUAGCACAUAGGCAUUUAAUAAGUGUGUAUUGAAUUAACUUGGUUAUGCUUGUAUUUUUAUCCUAGCUUUCUCAAAGAAACUUAGGUGCUAGCUAUUUUGAAACAUAUAUCCAGAACCACCACCUGAGUAAAAUGUAUAACAGGACCCUGCUCUUUCUAUCCCAGAGAGUUUGAGAAAACUACUUUUAAAUAAAUCAUUAAUCAUUCUUCAUUGGUUUUGGCUUUUUUUAUAGGUGUUUCUCAUAUCUUUAUCUCUGAGGCAAAUUGCUUGUCACAAAUUAAUUGUUUUAAACUAAAUACAUCUCAGGAACCAUAAAAUCAUAAAGGUAAACCUGACAUAGAGUUUAAAAACCAGCAUUAAGCAGAUAAUUAUUGUGUGCCUUUCAUAUGCCAAGAAGGAUGGCAGAUGAGGUAUAUAUCUUCAAAGGGCAUAUGUAAUAAGGGAGAUAAUAAAUAGAAAAGCAUAUCAUAUAAAAUGUGACAAGCCUUAAGAGGUGCAGAUAGUUUCUGAUUAUCAAAGAAACAUGUCUGUGAAAAGUACUGUCAUGCAUAAAGAUGGGCCAGGCACAGUGGCUUACGCCUGUAAUCCCAGUACUUUGGGCAGGUGGAUCACGUCAGGAGCUUGAGACCAGCCUGGCCUUGAACUCCUGACCUUAGGUGAUCCACCUGCCUCGCCUUUUCAGUGUUUAAAAGCAAAGACAUAAGCCUACAGCAUACCAUUUAUUAUCUCAUUUAGUGUCUUCAGCUCAGCAUAUUAUUUAAGCAUUGUAACUACUAUCAAACAUCAUGCUACUAUCACUCGGGUCAUCUUUCUAUACAGUAGCCCCCCUUAUUAAUGGUUUUGAUUCCCAUAUUUGCAGUUGCCCAC
rnacentral:lncRNA from 1 species